rnacentral:rRNA from 1 species
AGUGAACGCUGGCGGUAGGCCUAACACAUGCAAGUCGAACGGCAGCACAGUAAGAGCUUGCUCUUACGGGUGGCGAGUGGCGGACGGGUGAGGAAUACAUCGGAAUCUACUUUUUCGUGGGGGAUAACGUAGGGAAACUUACGCUAAUACCGCAUACGACCUACGGGUGAAAGCAGGGGAUCUUCGGACCUUGCGCGAUUGAAUGAGCCGAUGUCGGAUUAGCUAGUUGGCGGGGUAAAGGCCCACCAAGGCGACGAUCCGUAGCUGGUCUGAAAGGAUGAUCAGCCACACUGGAACUGAGACACGGUCCAGACUCCUACGGGAGGCAGCAGUGGGGAAUAUUGGACAAAGGGCGCAAGCCUGAUCCAGCCAUACCGCGUGGGUGAAGAAGGCCUUCGGGUUGUAAAGCCCUUUUGUUUGGAAAGAAAAGCAGCAGGUUAAUACCCCGCUGUUCUGACGGUACCCAAAGAAUAAGCACCGGCUAACUUCGUG